AUGCUCUGUAUAAUACUUUUCCCCGAGCGAUGGUUUAGCGGAUUCGGAAUUGUAACCAAGCAUCCUGGGUUCUAUACCCGAUUCAACACUAGAGGAUGCAGCCGAUCCUGGAUACAUAACUAUAAAAAGUGUGUGUGCAGUUUUGGAUCUUUAUUGGCAGCCAGUCUUUCACUUCUGCCUCUCCACUCCCAUGCCUUUCUUGGUCGGACCAACCCAACCGGCGAUUUCCGACAAGUCUUUCUGCUUAGAGCAAGAAGCGGAACCAAAAUAAAGCUUUCUUUAUUUUCAUUUAUGGAUAACCAAUCCAUUUUCCAAUAUAGCUGGGAGAUUUUACCUAAGAAAUGGGUACAUAAAAUGAAAGAUCGGAACAUGGGAAUAGAUCUUAUACCAAUACUGACUACCCAUUUCCAUUGUUGUGCUUUCUAA
rnacentral:rRNA from 1 species